rnacentral:rRNA from 1 species
UUCCAGACUCCUACGGGAGGCAGCAGUGAGGAAUAUUGGUCAAUGGGCGGAAGCCUGAACCAGCCAAGUCGCGUGAGGGAAUAAGGCCCUACGGGUCGUAAACCUCUUUUGCCGGGGAGCAAGGGCGGGGACGUGUCCCGGCCCGGAGAGUACCCGGAGAAAAAGCAUCGGCUAACUCCGUGCCAGCAGCCGCGGUAAUACGGAGGAUGCGAGCGUUAUCCGGAUUUAUUGGGGUUAAAGGGUGCGUAGGGGGGGCUGUAAAGCCGGGGGGAAAGGCCGGGGGCCAAACCCGGGCGAGCCGUUGAAACUGGCUGUCUUGGGAUGUCGAGAGGUAUGCGGAAUGCGCAGUGUAGCGGUGAAAUGCUUAGAUAUUGCGCAGAACUCCGAUUGCGAAGGCAGCAUACCGGCGGCGAUCUGACGCUGAGGCACGAAAGCGUGGGUAUCGAACAGGAUUAGAUACCCUAGUAC